GCGCGCGGUGGGCGGUCUGCUGAAGUGAUGUUUGGUAACGUGCUCCCUUUUCCAGCCUGUUUAUGUAACACGCGAGUCCUGUUGUUUUCCCCCAUUUAAAUAUUUAACAUUUUUCACGUAAACACAAAAUUAGCAUUUCUUUUUUAACUGCGUUCUUUCCUUAUUUUUAUUUUCCCACCAACAUUACCCGGAAAUAAGCUAACCUGAGCGCACAGACGUGUCCUAGUUUAAGGGGGGAAAAAAACCGAACCGGAGCGGCUCCGUUUCCUCGCGGGGUGGGAUGGAGAGGUGCGCUCGCGCGCGUGGAUUUCUGCAGCAGGAGGAUGUGGCGCACUUUCAUUUACCUCCGGAGUGGAGCUCUGCCACGCGGUAACAUUUAUCCCUAAUAAUUCCUCAUUUAUCGAAAAGUUCACAGCUUAACGACUCCAAACAAAAUCAAAUGAAGAAGCGAGCUGAUUCCUCUUGCUCUGAACCUAACUCUGUCCUCCUCUCGCUGCUGUCCCGUCAACAUGGAAACAAAAGGAUCAUCUGAUCAAGGCAGGUACGAUCAGAUAAACUGUAACCCAAAUUCUUCAAAUAAACACAGCUAACAAACCCACUAUUUAUUAGAAGUUCUUUAGCAGACUUGUCACUACGAUCUGUUUUAAUCAGACGAUGUUUUGCUUUAUUUCCUUUAGGUCAGAGAAGAAGAAGAUUGCGGAGGGGGGGGUUAGUGCGUGGAAAUUGCAGUAAAACGCGGCAGCAGGAAGGAAAAGAUAAACAUGU
rnacentral:lncRNA from 1 species